GUCAGGAUGGCCGAGCGGUCUAAGGCGCUGCGUUCAGGUCGCAGUCUCCCCCUGGAGGCGUGGGUUCGAAUCCUAUUCUUAACA